rnacentral:rRNA from 1 species
UACGUAGGGUGCAAGCGUUGUCCGGAAUUAUUGGGCGUAAAGAGCUCGUAGGCGGUCUGUCGCGUCUGCUGUGAAAACUCGGGGCUUAACCCCGGGCCUGCAGUGGGUACGGGCAGACUAGAGGUAUGCAGGGGAGAACGGAAUUCCUGGUGUAGCGGUGAAAUGCGCAGAUAUCAGGAGGAACACCGGUGGCGAAGGCGGGUCUCUGGGCCGUAACUGACGCUGAGGAGCGAAAGCGUGGGGAGCGAACAGG